rnacentral:rRNA from 1 species
UACGGGGGGGGCAAGCGUUGUCGGAAUUACUGGGCGUAAAGGGCUCGUAGGCGGCCAACUAAGUCAGACGUGAAAUCCCCUCGGCUUAACCGGGGAACUGCGUCUGAUACUGGAUGGCUUGAGUUUGGAAGAGGGAUGCGGAAUUCCAGGUGUAGCGGUGAAAUGCGUAGAUAUCGGAGGAACACCGGUGGCGAAGGCGGCAUCCUGGACCAACACUGACGCUGAGGAGCGAAAGCCAGGGGAGCAAACGGG